CAGCCGUAAACUAUGCUCGCUAGGUGUCAGGCAUGGCGCGACCGUGUCUGGUGCCGCAGGGAAGCCGUGAAGCGAGCCACCUGGGAAGUACGGCCGCAAGGCUGAAACUUAAAGGAAUUGGCGGGGGAGCACAACAACGGGUGGAGCCUGCGGUUUAAUUGGACUCAACGCCGGACAACUCACCGGGGACGACAGCAAUAUGUAGGCCAGGCUGAAGACCUUGCCUGAAUCGCUGAGAGGAGGUGCAUGGCUAGACGUCU
rnacentral:rRNA from 1 species